GCCUCGGUGGCUUAUGGGUAUAGCGCGUUCUUGGUAAGGACGAGGUCGCGGUUUCAAAUCCCGCCCGAGGCUCCA
rnacentral:tRNA from 1 species